CCACUGGACAAAGAACUCACCACUGGUCCCAAAAGCCGGACAACUUGGGCAGGAAGCACAGCUCAGGAGGGGCUGUCUCUUACAUCUCUGUUGGAGUCUCACCUAUUCUGGAGCUGUGGGAAGCCCCUGCCACCCAGGCCUGUGUUGGGGCUGAGAGGCUGUUACCCCAAAAUAUGGUGCUUUGACAUGCUGGAAUAAAGAAGAAGCCUCAAGGUCUCUCUGACCUCCCCUCCUCCUGUCUCUCAAUCCUCUGUCACUCUGCAAAGCACAGGAAGAGACUGCUCCCUCAUCUGCCUGAAGUCCUGACCCACUGAAGAUAGUUACUUCUGGUCCUUUCCCUGAGUCUAAAUGAACUUAAGUCUUAUCAUGGAAAGAAAGACUAAAGUAUGUCAACACACCUGGACAGAAUUUUGUCACUCCUGGACAGACUUUUGACACAUUUAGUGUUUUAAAGAGAAUCAUUUACCAGUCAUUGUCUGCUCUGUGGGCCAAAUAGAUUUUGUCCCAGGCCAUUGUAUGUUCUCCGGGCCCAUUGUGUCCCCUAAAAAUCUCUUGUAUGCCCCCCAUCUUCCCUUUCCCUAUGAAGAGGGGUAUAUAAGUUUCUGCACCCCACUGGGUUACCGGGCAGCCAUUCUGUGAUUCCCCCAUGCUAUGCAGGUUAAAUUAGAAUUGUAAUGCCUUUUCUUCGUGUUAA